GAUCCUGGCUCAGGAUGAACGCUAGCUACAGGCUUAACACAUGCAAGUCGAGGGGAAACGAUAUUGGAAGCUUGCUUCCGAUAGGCGUCGACCGGCGCACGGGUGAGUAACGCGUAUCCAACCUGCCCACCACUUGGGGGAUAACCUUGCGAAAGUAAGACUAAUACCCAAUGAUAUCUCUAGAAGACAUCUGAAAGAGAUUAAAGAUUAUCGGUGAUGGAUGGGGAGUGCGU
rnacentral:rRNA from 1 species